UGGGGAAUAUUGCACAAUGGGCGCAAGCCUGAUGCAGCCAUGCCGCGUGUAUGAAGAAGGCCUUCGGGUUGUAAAGUACUUUCAGCGGGGAGGAAGGGAGUAAAGUUAAUACCUUUGCUCAUUGACGUUACCCGCAGAAGAAGCACCGGCUAACUCCGUGCCAGCAGCCGCGGUAAUACGGAGGGUGCAAGCGUUAAUCGGAAUUACUGGGCGUAAAGCGCACGCAGGCGGUUUGUUAAGUCAGAUGUGAAAUCCCCGGGCUCAACCUGGGAACUGCAUCUGAUACUGGCAAGCUUGAGUCUCGUAGAGGGGGGUAGAAUUCCAGGUGUAGCGGUGAAAUGCGUAGAGAUCUGGAGGAAUACCGGUGGCGAAGGCGGACCCCUGGAAGAAGACUGACGCUCAGGUGCGAAAGCGUGGGGAGCAAACAGG
rnacentral:rRNA from 1 species